GAGAUCAAAAAAAUACUCAAAACUAUGUUUUGUGUUAUAACAAAUAUCAAACAAUAAUUGAAGAAUAUAGGAAUGCAACUGGACCAAAUGAAGUGAAAUCCACAGUCUGUAUGUAUUUACUUUUGGUGGGGAGCAAUCUCUGAAAAGUCAUCCAACAAACAUGUAUCGCUCACUCUACAAUGGAAUCUAAAUUUAUCGCUUUAAAUAAAAUCGGUGAAGAAGUUGAAUAACUCCAAAUUUUCUUCAAAGAUAUUUCGUUUUGGCCUAAACUCUUUGACACCGGUAUGCAUACAAUGUGAUAGCCAAAUUGCAAUAGGUAAGACAAAGAACGUGAUGUAUAACGAAAAGUUUUAUCAUAUAAUAAUAGAAACAUAAUAUUAUUAGAGAACUAAUCUCUAAUGAAAUUAUCACGACUGACUAUGUGAAGUCAAAAGAUAAUGUGUCGGAUUCACUUACAAAAAGUCUAAAUAGAAAGGGAGUUGAUAGAUUAUCAAAGAGAAUGGGGCAAAGACCUAGAUCAAGUCAUCACAACGGUAACUCUACCUAGAAGACUGGAGAUUCCAAUAGCUAGGUUCAAAAGAUCAAACAAAGUUCUGACUGAUGAUUUAACAUUGUCAAAUAACUCAAUACAUUCUCAUGAUAAAGAUAAUGUUCAGAAAACAAUAUAUGGCUUAGCUUAAGGCUUGAAGCUUUUUACUGAUUCCUUAAGUUUGACAGAUGUGACCAAAUAAUUUAUUUGUAGGAUUAAAUGUUUAGGAAUUAUCUAAGUGAGUAUGAAGUGGACGUCGCUUAAAAAUAGUAAUAAAAGCCUAUUCUCUAAGCUCUCAUGAGACUUAGUGUUCAUGGUUAGAACAAAUAAAAUCGUGAGAACCAUACAUAAAAUAAGGCUAGUUGUGUGAGUUAUAUUGCCUAGGUGUACAACAAAAUUUGAACACAAAUGAUAAAUACCGGGUAAUUUAUGCACAUCGAUUAAUUCCACCAGAUACCUACCAUCUUCCCACUAGCAAUAGGUACUAGAUAAUUCUAUCCACCAAAGAUAGGACAAAUGGGAUAACUUCACCUAGUGUUUUGUCUCAAUUAAGAUUUGAACGGAAACUUCAUAAUUCUCUAUCCACCUUAUUAACCACUAAGCUACACUCAAAAGUGAGACAAACACUUUUUGCCAUCACCUUCUGCACACCUCAACUAUUCCACCGCGUAUCUUCUACAAGAAGAGGUACUAGAUAACUUGAUGCAAACAUAGGUUUAGAAAAAUAUAAAGAAACCAACUUGUAUUUUUUGUCUAUCCUAAAAUUUGAUCCUCGAUAUGCAAGAUUUGCGCCCAUUUCAUUGACUAGUUACCCUUAAGGGUUGUUUAGCUAGUGAGAUAAGAAAUAACAAAUCCAGAAUAAAAUGUGAAAUUAUUUUAUACCCAUUCAGUUAUGAAUUUUAAUUAAUCCCUUCAAAACUAAAAUAAUAGAUUAGCUAUCCCAUAUAGAGGUGGGAUAAACUAAUCUCAUAGGUAUAUUUGUCUAUCCGAUCUCAAUAAUCAAAUGACCUCUUCAAAAGUUGCCAUAUAAAGGUUAUCAUAACAAAUAUAUCAUUUCCUCUCCAUUGUUCAUCUCUCCAAUAGGGUGAAUCUUUAUACCAGAAUCCAGAUAUAUGAAAAUUCAAACAGCUUUUGCAUUGUGUAUCCUGUUUUUGACAAACCUUACCUUCCAGACUCCCAGUUCCUAAAAUGAAAUACUAAAGUGCAAGCUUAGUGAAAUAUGUAUCUGCUCCUGUAAACAUGACUAGUCCAUAACAUUAUGGACUCACACAUAACUUGAUACAGUGAAGUUCAUGCUCCCAAUUAGUAGCAAGAACAUGUAGAUAUAGCUAUAAAGCAAAAUGAAUUGAAUAUGAUAUCUGAAACAUGGAUGACAACAUAUGAGAGAUCAACAACAUCAUACCUAGUGAACCCCACAAAGUGGGGUUUUGGGAGGGUAGAGUGUACGCACACUUACAACUACCUCGUGGAGAUACAGAGGUUGUUUCCGAAAUUUACAACAUAUGAGAGAUCAUGAAGCAAAAUUUACAAUACCUAGCACUGAAGAACAACCAUGUCAAUGGACGUUUUACAUGUUAUCUAGAUAUGCACAUAACAUUUAGACAUGUAAUAUAUCUGAUAGAAUACCAGGUAAGUUAGAACAACAUAUAGUAGACGAAAUCAAACUGAUAUCAAACGAGCAGAAAGAAUGAAACUGUACACAACACACAAAUUCACCAAAUAAAGCUUCAACCUUCACAAAUCUUUUAAUCUACUUUGCCUCCAAGUUUAGUAAGAUCUCAUGUCAUACGUUGCCAACAAGAGGAUGACCCUUGGGGACUAAAUGAAAUCACCAAAUUUCAGAUGAUUUCUGUCAAUACAGGUGCAACAUAUCUGAGAAGAACAAUGAACUGAAGAUGGCACGAAAAAUUGGAUAAAGACAUGCAAGAGAUCAUGAAGAAAAAUUUACAAUGACAAAACACAACCAAGUCGAUGGAUGUUUUCCAUGUUAUCCAGAUUUGCACAUACCAUUUAGACAUGUAAUAUCUGAUAGAAUACCAGGUGAGUGAGAACGACAUAUGACAGACAUAAUCAAAGUGCUAUCAAACCAGUAAAAUGAAAGACCUGAAACUGGAGCAAACACACAAAUUCUCUUAAUAAUUCUUGAACAUGCACAUAUCAUUUUUUCUUCUUCGUCCCCCAGGAUUAAUAAGAUCUCAAAAUAUAUGUUGCCAAUCAGAGAAGGACCCUUUUGGAGACCAAAUCAAAUCACCAAAUACUCCCCUUCUAGAUCUUGUCAAGCUUCUCUGCCUUAACAACAGGGUUGGCUUUUGCUAUUGCAUCCUGGCCAGCAGAGCGGUAAUCAAACAGGCAGUCAUGUUUAUCUGAGUAGCGGUGUGCUCCACAAUAAAUGUUACCACAGCGACAUUUGAAUCCAGUGAUGCCAACCUUUUUCUUACAAGUGCCACAGCGGUUAGGACCCACCUUAGCCUUUACAUCGGGCAUAUCACUAGAACUCGAAGUUUGAGAUGAUGGCAAAGCUAUAGACUGUGCUUCAAUAGUAUCAGGUUGCACAUCUACGGGGUCAACAAUAACCAUUCCCUUCUCUCCGGCAGAUGAUCCAUUGACAAGGUUUUCAAUUGAUGACACAGCAAGCUUAGCUUGUUCUUGUUUCAAUACCAUGUCUUUGUAACACUUGGAGCACAUGUUCAUGUUUGCAGCACUUCCGAAAAAGCCACAGUUGUUAAUACACAAAAUAGGACCUUCCGGAGGGGGUUGGCAUCCCGUCUCAUCAUGCUCCAUAUUGUCA
rnacentral:lncRNA from 1 species